UGGGGAAUUUUGGACAAUGGGCGAAGCCUGAUCCAGCAAUGCCGCGUGUGUGAAGAAGGCCUUCGGGUUGUAAAGCACUUUUGUCCGGAAAGAAAUCCUUGGCUCUAAUACAGUCGGGGGAUGACGGUACCAGAAGAAUAAGCACCGGCUAACUACGUGCCAGGCAGCCGCGGUAAUACGUAGGGUGCAAGCGUUAAUCGGAAUUACUGGGCGUAAAGCGUGCGCAGGGCGGUUUUGCUAAGACCGAAUGUGAAAUCCCCGGGCUCAACCUGGGAACUGCAUUGGUGACUGGCAGGCUAGAGUAUGGCAGAGGGGGGUAGAAUUCCACGUGUAGCAGUGAAAUGCGUAGAGUGUGGAGGAAUACCGAUGCGAAGGCAGCCCCCUGGGCCAAUACUGACGNUCGUGCACGAAAGCGUGGGGAGCAAACAGGAUUAGAUA
rnacentral:rRNA from 1 species